rnacentral:misc_RNA from 1 species
GGAAAAGUUGAGAGAAGGGAGAUUAAGAUGGGCACAUAAAGCAUUGAUGAUAAAGGUUGAGCACAUUGAAGUUGUAGACAUAAGAAAACAUGGGAUAGAUCUAGGGUAGGGGAAGUAUGUAGAGAGAAACAUAUACAAUCUAUGGAUUUUUUCUAAAAUAUGCUCCUAAACAAGGUGGUAUGGAAGAAAAGAAUUCGUAUAGCCAAUCCCAGUUAGUUCAGGAUUAAUGUUUGGUUGAGUUCAGUUAGGUUGAUUACUAGGUCAUAAGAUUUGAAGUAUGCAAGUGUCCUUUUUUUAUGUUUCAUUAGUAAAGACAGAUGGAAAAUAGUCAUAGGAAUGGAGACCAGAUGUAUUACGGAAAAGCAAUUUAUCAAUAUGCAUUAUGACUCUCUGUAUUAGAAACCAUCCAAUUACCCUCUCAUUAAAUGAAAAAAACUAAAAGAAUAUACAAAGUCAGCAGCAACCAGAUAUGACCAGCAGAAAUUUCAGAAAGUCUGAGAAUAUGUAGUGUAGAAAGAGGGAAAGAGAGACAUUCACAGAAUUUGCUAUUCACCUGCGAUGAAUGCAUCCAAGUGC